ACCCCCUGGCAAUGGGCAGAGAGACACCUUGUUGGUAUUGUUCUUAUAACAGUCAGGGGCAGAGCAGAUGGCAGUCCCUUGCUCAUCCUGACUUGAUCCUGGCUUGGUGUCCAAAACUGUUUCAGGUCUUGGACACAUAA